rnacentral:tRNA from 1 species
GCCGGGGUGGUGGAAUGGUAGACACCGGGGACUUAAAAUCCCCUGGACGUAAGUCCGUGUGAGUUCAAAUCUCAUCCCCGGCA